CUCCUACGGGAGGCAGCAGUGGGGAAUUUUGGACAAUGGGGGCAACCCUGAUCCAGCCAUGCCGCGUGCGGGAAGAAGGCCUUCGGGUUGUAAACCGCUUUUGGUCGGGAAGAAAAGGCGUCUCCUAAUACGGGGCGUUCUUGACGGUACCGGCAGAAUAAGCACCGGCUAACUACGUGCCAGCAGCCGCGGUAAUACGUAGGGUGCGAGCGUUAAUCGGAAUUACUGGGCGUAAAGCGUGCGCAGGCGGUAAGUUAAGUCUGAUGUGAAAGCCCCGGGCUCAACCUGGGAAUGGCAUUGGAAACUGGCUUGCUAGAGUGUGGCAGAGGGGGGUGGAAUUCCGCGUGUAGCAGUGAAAUGCGUAGAGAUGCGGAGGAACACCGAUGGCGAAGGCAGCCCCCUGGGCCAACACUGACGCUCAGGCACGAAAGCGUGGGGAGCAAACAGGAUUAGAUACCCUGGUAGUCCACGCCCUAAACGAUGUCAACUGGGUGUUGGGGAAGCGAUUCCUUGGUACCGUAGCUAACGCGUGAAGU
rnacentral:rRNA from 1 species